rnacentral:rRNA from 1 species
GUGAACGCUGGCGGUAGGCCUAACACAUGCAAGUCGCACGGCAGCACAGUAAGAGCUUGCUCUUACGGGUGGCGAGUGGCGGACGGGUGAGGAAUACAUCGGAAUCUACUUUUUCGUGGGGGAUAACGUAGGGAAACUUACGCUAAUACCGCAUACGACCUACGGGUGAAAGCAGGGGAUCUUCGGACCUUGCGCGAUUGAAUGAGCCGAUGUCGGAUUAGCUAGUUGGCGGGGUAAAGGCCCACCAAGGCGACGAUCCGUAGCUGGUCUGAGAGGAUGAUCAGCCACACUGGAACUGAGACACGGUCCAGACUCCUACGGGAGGCAGCAGUGGGGAAUAUAGGACAAUGGGCGCAAGCCUGAUCCAGCCAUACCGCGUGGGUGAAGAAGGCCUUCGGGUUGUAAAGCCCUUUUGUUGGGAAAGAAAAGCAGCAGGUUAAUACCCCGCUGUUCUGACGGUACCCAAAGAAUAAGCACCGGCUAACUUCGUG